UAUAUAUAGGGAUGGGGGCUGGUUAUUUCAGCACCUCUUUGCUUAGCAACUAUUAUCAUUUGGCUUAGAGGCUAGUUAUGUGCUUAGAGUGAGAGGAGAAAGGGAGAUUAGAGAGUGAUUACUCUUUUCUCUUGAUUUCUUCAUAUUCAGUGGGUGGAUGAAGGGAGGAUGCUAGUCCUCAUCUUGUAUAGAAGAUGUUCUCGUGAUUUAGCUUUGUUUGUUGUCUCAAAUCGUGCUAAAUCUUUGAUUCCUGAGCGUUUUUCUUUUUCCCUAUUUUUGGAGCUAUUUUUCGGGAAUUUUCGUUCAUCAUGUUUGAGCCCGAAUCUCGUGAGAUUGGUUGAAGGGAAAUGUUGCCAGGACCUUGGAGAGCAUCUUUGAUAUGAUCCCCCUUCAAAUCCUUCACGAAUCCGGCUUGAUUUUGAGUUUUCCCAAAUCGUGUUCUUGAGGUAGGGUUUCGGUUUUCUCCAAGAUUUGCAAUGAAUACUUGAGCUUUUCGAGAUUUGUCUUAUGGAUCUAUUUUCCCUUGGGGUAUUGCAUCCUUGUCUCAAGUUUCGUUUCGAUCCGAGGAGUAUUGACAGAGUAAUUCUGGAUCAAAGUUGGGCGAGUUCUUCAGGCGUUCUUAUGUUCAUUCGGUUUGCUCUUCCUAUUCCUCUUUUGUUCGUGUGUGUGCGUGCAGGGCAUCGAAGCGAACCAGCAGCGAGCAGUGAACAACAGCAACAUGCGAGUGGGCCAAGUCCAGCGACGCAGGCCAGCACGGCAGGUAGCACACGGCCCAGCAACUAGCGGCCCGUCAGCAAGCCGGAGCUGCACCAGGCCGACCACUGCGAGGCGGGUCAAGUCUGACCAGGCGGCUCAGCUAGCUGCACCAGCGUGCAAGCAGCCCAGCUAGGAGGCGCAGAAGCUUGGCCGGUCCAACUAUGGGAGCUAGUGGCCCGUUAGCAGCUGUGAAUAGCCCAAGCCUCAAGUGACAGUAGGAGGCCCACGCAAGCAGAUCUUCUGUGAAAGCACUGUGAGCUUGAUUGUUUUAGUUCCUUGCCAAUUCCAUGCAAUUGCGAGCUAACCACUGUUGAGUGGUUUAGCAAUUUAAUCCUUGCGUAGUUCUGUUACUUGCUACUAGUUUUGAUUUCCCGUAUUACUAAUCUGCGUAGUUUAUUGCUGAUCCUUCCUUGACUAGUUUAGUAAGUGCUUAGUAGUAUCCUUGCUUUAUUUUGUUUGUGCAAGCUUGAUGGAGUCGAAUCAUGCAAUGUUUCCGCUGUAAUAUGAGCGUGUCUUAUCGUUCCUAAGGUGAGCUUGUCACGAGUUGACUAGCGUCAUCUUGACGAUAUAACGCGUAGUGUGUUUUGGGGUUGCGUUUGGGACAUAGGUCUUGUUCUCGUUGAGAAUUUUUUAUAGGCUCCUAUUCACCCCCCUCUUGUCACCCUUUCAGUCCUUCAAUUGGUAUUAGAGCUGGUUAAGGUUUUUCAUACCCUAAUUGGUUUCGAAACCUAUUAUGGCAACCUCUGAGCGUUCUUCCUCGACCGCUGCACACUACUUUGAUGGCUCUGACUAUCAGUAUUGGAAAACUCGCAUGAGAGCCCAUCUAAAUAGUAGAGGAGCAGGGGUUUGGGAAAUCACUCAGGAUGUGUCUUAUGUGAUUCCUGCUACUCGCUUGACUCAAGAAAAAAGAGAUAAAUAUCACGCCAAUAACAAGGCGGUGGAUAUCAUGUUUGCAAGUCUGUGCCGUGCUGAGUUUGACCGUGUCGAGGAUCUAUCUCUUGCUCAUGAGAUUUGGUCCAGACUUCAGAGUUUCCAUGAGGGAAACAGUCAGGUGAAGGCAAGACUCUUUGAGAGACCUACAGGCGUGAGUAUGAGAACUUUGUUCAUUUGCCUGGAGAGUCUGUUGAUGCUUUGUUUCAGCACUUUCUUGCUAUUGUGAACAAGAUGAAAGCAAACAUCACUGUCUUACCCUACACCGAUCAUGAUAGAGCUUUAAAGCUCCUACAUGCUUUGGAUCACGAGGUGUGGGGUACGAAGGUUGAUGCUAUCAUCGAGUCACCAAAUUAUGAGACGCUUUCCACUGAUGAGCUCUUUGCUAAGUUGAAAUCCACGGAGGCUGACAAGAGGCUCCGAGCUAAACAGGGGAGCCCUACUGAUCCAAAUAGUAUGGCUCUCAUGUGAGGCUCUGGUCAGCCUAAGUCUUUGAGUGGCUCUUCUUUGAUGUCGUUUGUCUUGUCUUCUUUGGUUUUAGUGUCCGAGGAGCAGCUGGAGGUUCUUGAUGAUGAGGAGCUUGCCUUGAUCACUCGGCGAUUCAUGCGCUUCAACGACAAUCCCAAUAACCGGUGAAGGAACAACAAUACAUGUUUCGGCUGUGGGAAGCCAGGACACUUCACCGCCGACUGCCCCGAUAAGAACAAGUCCAAGAGCGGGUACAACUACAACAAGCACAAGAACAAGGACGACAUCAGGAAGAAGAAAAAGUACACCGAUCGCGAGAAGAAGGAGCAUCGCAAGAAGGCCAAAGAGCAUGCCUUCAUUGCCUCCCUCAGCGACGUCAACUCCAACACCGACGACCACACCGACUCAAGCUCAAACGAGGAGGAUGACGAUCGCAAGGCGAAGAAGAAGGACGGAAAGAACUUCAACAGCCUCUGCUUCUACUCCGGUAAGAACCACGACGGGUACUGUGUCAUGGCCCUCAACUCCAAGAAGGAUGACAAGGAAAGUAACUCCGACACAGAAACUGAGGUCGGAGACCUGGAGAACACGUGGCUCAUUGAUUCUGGUUGCUCUCGACACAUGAUCGGUGAUCACAAAUAGUUCUCCAGCCUCACCCCGGUGAUGACCAAGGAGUACAUCACUUUCAGGGAUAGUAACAAAGGUAAGGUUCUGUCUGAAGGUGCUAUCAAGGUAAGUGAGAAUUUCAUACUCAAGCGAGUUGUUCUUGUUGAUUCUCUCAGUUUCAAUUUGCUUUCGGUUUCGUAACUUCUUGAUGAUGGAGUUGAGGUUCGUUUCAAACAUGGGGCUUCAUGGAUUUUAGAUUCUCGAGGUUAUCUUGUGUGUAUGAUCGUUCCUAAGGGUCAAGUGUUUCGAGUGGAUUUCUCUAAGUCAUUUGGUCUCUCUCGGUGUUUAGUGGCUGGCUCAUCUUCUGAGCUUUGGAAGUGGCAUAGGAGAUUGGGUCAUUUGAGUUUUGAUUUACUUUCCCGCUUGAGUGCUUUGGAUCUUAUUCGAGGUAUGCCCAAAUUAAAAUUUGAGAAAGAUCUUGUUUGUGCUCCUUGUUGACAUGGAAAGUUGGUUGCUGCUUCCCAUCCACCUGUGAAUCAGGUGAUGACUAAGCAUCCAGGCGAGCUGUUGCAUAUGGACACUGUUGGUCCAUCUCGUGUUUGCUCAGUUGGUGGGAAGUGGUAUGUGCUUGUGAUCGUUGAUGAUUUUUUGAGGUAUUCAUGGGUUUUCUUCAUGGAGUCUAAGGAUGAGGCAUUUUAUUUUGUUCAAGAUUUCAUCUUGAGGUUGAAAAAUGAGCGACCAAAAGAUGUCAUAAGAGCUAUCCGCGUGACAAUGACACAGAAUUUAAGAACACUCAUUUUAAAUCCUUUUGCAAUGAUUUUGGUCUUGAACACCAGUUUUCAUCGCCUUAUGUCCCUCCUCAGAAUGGUGUUGUUGAACGGAAGAAUCAGACCCUUUGUGAGAUGGCUAGGAUGAUGCUUGAUGAGCAUAGGACUCCUAGAAAAUACUGGGCCGAAACUGUCAACACUGCUUGCUAUGUUUCCAAUUGAAUCUUCUUACGAGCUUUCAUGAAGAAAACUUCUUUUGAGCUGAUGCAUCGACGUUCCCCCAAAGUGUUUCAUUCUGAGGGUGUUUGGCUGCAAGUGUUUCAUUCUCAAGCAAGGGAAUUUGGACAAAUUUGAGUCUCAUUCUACGGAUGGGAUUUUUCUUGGUUAUGCUUCUCAUAGUCGUGCUUAUCGUGUGCUUAACCUUGGAACUAACCGGAUCAUGGAAACUUGUGAGAUUACAUUCGAUGAAACUAUGCCUUGCAAAACUUCUAUCUUUGAAGUUGCAAGUGAACAUGAAAUGGGGCAAAGCAUCUUUGAGGAAGAGGAAGAGCGUGUGAAUGGUGGUGAUGAAAAAAAUGAUGAGAUUGAUCGAGUUCCAGCUGCUACUCAUGUACCUUCUAAUUUGACUACAAUGGUUGAUGGUCUUACCUCCACUCCCACUACUUCAAGCCAUCAACAACUACCACUACAUGAUGAAGAAGAAGAAGUUCAGGGUAAUCCAGCUGCUGUUAAGGGGGAGGUGACUUCAGAGCAAGAGGCUCCACAUACAUUCAGCGUCGCCAUCCUCCACAACAAAUGAUCAGUAACUUACAUGAACGCACCACUCGGGACAGCUCUAGGCAGAUUUCACACUUUGCACAUUCUGCUUUUGUUGCCUCUUUUGAACCCUGAGAUAUUGGACAUGCUUUAUCUAAUUCGAACUGGGUCAAUGCAAUGCAUGAGGAGUUAGAAAACUUUGAGAGAAACAAGAUUUGGGUUUUAGUUGAACCACCUCCAAAUUGCUACCCUAUAGGAAUAAAAUGGGUUUUCAAAAAUAAACAGGGUGAGGAUGGAUUGGUUGUGAGAAACAAAGCGAGGUUAGUUGCUCAAGGUUUUAUCUAAAAAGAGGGGAUAGAUUAUGAGGAAACCUUUGCCCCUGUUGCCCAUUUGGAAGCGAUUAGAAUCCUUCUAGCCUUCUCUGUGGCUAAAGGUUUUAAGCUCUUCCAAAUGGAUGUGAAAAGUGCCUUCCUAAAUGGUUUCAUAGAGGAGGAAGUGUACGUGUAACAACCCCCUGUCUUUGAGACUCCUAAGUAUCUUGAUCGUGUUUUCAAACUUCAAAAAGCUCUCUAUGACCUAAAACAAGCAUCCUGAGUGUGGUAUGCUAGAUUGAAAUCAUUUUUGCUUGGGAAUGGGUUUGAAAUGGGGUCAGUUGAUAAAACACUCUUUCUCCUCAGGCAAGGCAAAGACUUAAUGAUUGUUCAGAUUUACGUGGAUGAUAUUAUCUUCGGUGGCUCCUCUCAUGCUUUCGUUGCCAAGUUUGCAGAUGACAUGAGCAGGGAAUUCGAGAUGUUUAUGAUGGGUGAGUUGACCUUCUUUCUCAGGCUACAAAUCAAGCAAAGCAAUGAUGGAACCUUUGUGCAUCAAGGCAAGUACACGAAGGAUGUGUUGAGGAAGUUUGACAUGGCUGACGCCAAGCCAUUGUCAACUGCUAUGGCGACGACGACGGCUUUGGAUACGAAUGAAGAUGGAGAACAAGUGGACCGGAAGGAGAAAAGGAGCAUGAUCGGCUCCCUCUUGUACCUGACGGCGACGAGGCCGGACAUACACUUCGCUGUGUGUCUAUGCGCUUGUUUUCAGGCUUCACCGAGGACAUCUCACUGUCAGGCAGUGAAGAUGAUCAUGAGGUAUCUCCGCUUUACCCCUGAGUUCGGUUUGUGGUAUUCUGCCUCCCGACACUCACGCUUUGGGGAUACUCCGAUGCGGACUUUGCUGGGUGUCGCUUGGAUCGCAAGUCUACCUCAAGCACUUGCUGGUUUCUCGGUUUGUCUUUGGUCACUUGGUCUUCUCGCAAACAAUCUAGUGUUGCUCAGUCUACCACCGCAGCUGAGUAUGUUGCUGCUACUAUCUGUUGUUCUCAGCUGCUUUGGAUGAUUUCCACUUUGAGAGACUUUGGUUUGGAUUUUACUCAUGUACCCCUUCUUUGUGACAGCACGAGUGCCAUUAGUGUAGCCAAGAACCCCGUUCUCCACUCAAAAACCAAACACAUUGGUGUGAGAUAUUAUUUUCUAAGAGAUCAUGUUGAGAGAGGGGACAUUGACCUUGGCCAUGUUGCUGCCCAAAACCAACUCACUGAUAUUUUCACCAAACCCCUGGAUCAAGCCACUUUUACUUGUUUGUGGGGGGAGUUGGGUGUUUGCUUUCCUUUCUGAGUUGGGUUUUGGAGCUUCUCUUUUAUUAUACUUGUAUCAUUUAUGUACAAAACAUGGUAGGAUAGCCACUUCUUCAUGAUAGCUUUGAGUUCUUCAUGUAUAUCUUAUCAUGCUAUCUUUUGUGAUAUUUUGUGGUGGAUGAUACAUAUGAACAUUAUGUCAUGCUUUACCAUAGUUCACAUUUGUGUAUGGCAUAUUGUUCAUCUAUAUCAUUUUUGCUUAGUAUCUUUGCAUCUAUAUCAUAAUGCAUUUUGUAUCAUACUGCAUUAGAUGAGCUUCUCCUAUAUACCCUAAGUACUCCCUUAUGCUACUUGUGAGCUAGUGUUGUGGUUGGUGAUUUUGAUGCAAUGUGCAGUUAUGCUCUUGAUGAUAUUGUAUACUUGUUGAGAUAACUAUUUUUGAAAUUCAAUGCUAAAUUCUACUCUAUUAACUUGCUUAUCUCCCAUGAGUAGAUGCAUAAUUAUGGUUUGCCCUUGUUUUAAUACUGGUUCUGUAUCAAGCUUGUAUUUGGAAUCCAUGUUCUUUUCAAUUGGGUCAAAGAUUUAGGUAUCAUUGCAAAUGUUUAGCCCAUGAUGCACCCCUUGGGGAAGCAUGGCUUCUUUGUGCCGCAAAGGUACUUCAUGUAUUUUGCUUUGUGUGAAUAAUGAAAAUAAAAAUGCUGACAAAUUCAUAAAUUCACCAAUUUUUUGUGCUUAAUGUGAUAUUUUUGCUUGCUUAGUUGUUACAAGAUGUCUACCAAAAUAAGUAGGCACUUGGUUUCAACAAGUUUUAAACAUGACAUGUGAUGCAUAUAUGGGUUUUUGCAAUGAUGUCUUGUUGAGAAUGGGUUUUCCUAGUAUGAGCUCUUGAUGGACUAGUCUAUUCUUGCUUGGGUGAUUCUUAACUAGGUGCCUGCUCAUGUGGUGAUCUUUUUAUACAUUGCUAAAACUUGAUACUUGCUUCACCUCCAUUGUUGUAACUUGAUAUCAUCUUGUUAGCGAUGCUAUUGUUUCUUAUGAUCCAUCAAGCUUUAUCUCCCCUGUAGCCUUUGAGAAUGCAUUGUGAUAUAUUUGAGAAGCUUGUUAGGUUCUGCAUUUCCAUGGUAUGCAUUUUGUGCUUUCAUGCUUUUCUUGAUGGUUGCAUUGUCAAUAAGAGGGAGAUAAAUCUACACAAACUCAUUCAUCUGUCAAGGGGGAGACUUUGCGUGUAUGCAUGAUUUCAGGGGGAGUGCAUAUGUUCAGGGGCAGUAUUUAUGAGUUGUUGCUAUGCUCUUGUUAUGCUCUUGUGCUCUUGUACCAGUCGCGUUGAGCUAUUUACCUCUUCUUAAGGAGCCAAUUUUUAAUUUGAGUUUGGAUUUUCAUGUGAUUGGUGUUGAGCCCGUUUUAUGCCUCUUCUUGAGAGAUCACAUGAUUUUGUCUCAGUUGUGUAGAGCUGUUUCCCUUAUCUUAGGGGACUGAGAUUUUCUAUUUGAGUUUCUUGUUUUCUGUUUCAAUACUAUGAAUUUGUGGGGUGUUGUCAAUACACUCAUCAAGGGGGAGAUUGAGGACCAAUGGUGGUCACCUUUGGAAGAUGAGUGAUUGACAACGUUGUGUUGGUUUCAUGUUGCUCUUGACUUGUGAUGUGCAAGUGUAGGAUGCGACAUGGCGGUCGACGGCGUGCGGUGAAGGUCAAGUGAAAGGUUCAUGCCGAUGGACCAAGGGCGGUGAAGGAUGAACGCGAGUAGGCUUGGACCGAUGGACCUGAGGAGUCCGGGUGAAGUCAUGGGCGGUCCACAUGGUGCACAGAACGGUGAGAGGACAUGACAGGAUGGAGACGGCGUUGGUCGAGUCGAGCGGGAGGCUUGGCGGAGGCCAGACACGUGUCGACAUCGAGGAGGUUGCGUGGCGGCCAAGCGAAGAUGGACAGUUUGGGUGCUUUGGGCCUCAAAACCACCGCGCAGCCAGGUUUCCCGGUUUGGGCCUCAAAACCGGGGGCGACCCCGGUGCGGUCGGAGCUUCGAGAAGGAGGGCACGUGGCGUCAUCGCGAAGCUUGCGUCGAGGCGAAGCAAAGUCGUGAAGGCGGCGUGUCCGUUCGAUGCACGGAUAAAAACUUGGACCAAAAUGCCCCUACGUUGGUAGUUAUCCUAGUUAUAGUGUUAGGGGUAGUAUGGUCAUUCAUCCCGGAGUAUAUAUAGGGAUGGGGGGCUGGUUAUUUCAGCACCUCUUUGCUUAGCAACUCAUUAUCAUUUGGCUUAGAGGCUAGUCAUGUGCUUAGAGUGAGAGGAGAAAGGGAGAUUAGAGAGUGAUUAUUCUUUUCUCUUGAUUUCUUCAUAUUUAGUGGGUGGAUGAAGGGAGGAUGCUAGUCCUCAUCUUGUAUAGAAGAUGUUCUCGUGAUUUAUCUUUGUUUGUUGUCUCAAAUCGUGCUAAAUCUUUGAUUCCUGAGCAUUUUUCUUUUCCCCUAUUUUUGGAGCUAUUUUUUGGAAAUUUUCAUUCAUCAUGUUUGAGCCCGAAUCUCGUGAGAUUGGUUGAAGGGAAAUGUUGCCAGGACCUUGGAGAGCAUCUUUGAUAUGAUCCCCCUUCAAAUCCUUCAUGAAUCCGGCUUGAUUUUGAGUUUUUCCCAAAUCGUGUUCUUGAGGUAGGGUUUCGGUUUUCUCCAAGAUUUGUAAUGAAUACUUGAGCCUUUCGAGAUUUGUCUCAUGGAUAUAUUUUCCCUUGGGGUAUUGCAUCCUUGUCUCAAGUUUCAUUUCGGUCCGAGGAGUAUUGACGGAGUAAUUUUGGAUUGAAGUUGGGCGAGUUCUUCAGGCGUUCUUGUGUUCAUUCGGUCUGUUCUUCCUAUUCCUCUUUUGUUCGUGUGUGUGUAGGGCAUCGAAGCGAACCAGCAGCGAGCAACGAAUAGCAGCAGCACGCGAGUGGGCCAAGUCCAGUGACGCAGGCCAGCACGGCAGGGAGCACACGGCCCAGCAACUAGCGGCCCGUCAGCAAGCCGGAGUUGCACCAGGCCAUCCACUGCGAGGCGGGUCAAGUCUGACCAGGUGGCCCAGCUAGCUGCACCAGCAUGCAAGCAGCCCAGCUUGGAGGUGCAGAAGCUUGGCCGACCUGACUACGGGAGCUAGUGGCCCGUUAGCAGCUGUGAAUAGCCCAAGCCUCAAGUGACAGCAGGAGUCCCACGCAAGCAGACCUUCUGUGAAAGCACUGUGAGCUUGAUUGUUUGAGUUCCUUGCCAAUUCACUUGAUUGUUUGAGUUCCUUGCCAAUUCCAUGCAAUUGCGAGCUAACCACUGUUGAGUGGUUUAGCAAUUUAAUCCUUGCGUAGUUCUAUUACUUGCUACUAGUUUUGAUUUCUCGUAUUACUAAUCAUGCGUAGUUUAUUGCUUA